rnacentral:rRNA from 1 species
UGCCAGCCGCCGCGGUAAUACGGAGGGUGCAAGCGUUGUUCGGAAUUAUUGGGUGUAAAGCGCGUGUAGGCGGUUCGUUAAGUCUGAUGUGAAAGCCCGGGGCUCAACCCCGGAAGUGCAUUGGAAACUGGCGAGCUUGAGUACGGCAGAGGUUAGUGGAAUUCAAUGUGUAGCGGUGGAAUGCGUAGAUAUAUUGAGGAACACCAGUGGCGAAGGCGAGUCUCUGGCACGAUUCUGACGCUGAGGCGCGAAAGCUAGGGGAGCGAACGGGAUUAGAUA